AUUGAACGCUGGCGGCAGGCCUAACACAUGCAAGUCGAACGAGUGGCGGACGGGUGAGCAAUGUCUGGGAAACUGCGUGAUGGAGGGGGAUAACUACUGGAAACGGUAGCUAAUGCCGCAUAACGUCAGAUCUGCCCAGAUGGGAUUAGCUUGUGGGUGGGGUAACGGCUCACCAAGGCGACGAUCCCGAGCUGGUCUGAGAGGAUGACCGGCCACACUGGAACUGAGACACGGUCCAGACUCCUACGGGAGGCAGCAGUGGGGAAUCUUGGACAAUGGGCGAAAGCCUGAUGCAGCCAUGCCGCGUGUAUGAAGAAGGCCUUCGGGUUGUAAAGUACUUUUAGCGGGGAGGCGUUACCCAAAGAGGAAGCACCGGCUAACUCCGUGCCAGCAGCCGCGGUAAUUC
rnacentral:rRNA from 1 species